rnacentral:rRNA from 1 species
GUGCCAGCAGCCGCGGUAAUACAGAGGUCCCGAGCGUUGUUCGGAUUCACUGGGCGUAAAGGGUGCGUAGGUGGUGGGGUAAGUCUCGUGUGAAAGCUCGCAGCUUAACUGCGAAAAGUCACGGGAUACUAUUCCGCUGGAGGCUUGGAGGGGGGACUGGAAUACUUGGUGUAGCAGUGAAAUGCGUAGAUAUCAAGUGGAACACCAGUGGCGAAGGCGAGUCCCUGGACAAGACCUGACACUGAGGCACGAAAGCCAGGGGAGCAAACAGGAUUAGAAACCCCAGUAGUCC